GUGGGGAAUCUUCCGCAAUGGACGAAAGUCUGACGGAGCAACGCCGCGUGAGUGAUGAAGGUCUUCGGAUUGUAAAGCUCUGUUAAUCGGGACGAAAGAGCCUAGUGUGAAUAAUGCUAGGAAGUGACGGUACCGGAAUAGAAAGCCACGGCUAACUACGUGCCAGCAGCCGCGGUAAUACGUAGGUGGCAAGCGUUGUCCGGAAUUAUUGGGCGUAAAGCGCGCGCAGGCGGAUCUGCCAGUCUGUCUUAAAAGUUCGGGGCUUAACCCCAUGAUGGGAUGGAAACUACAGAUCUAGAGUAUCGGAGAGGAAAGUGGAAUUCCUAGUGUAGCGGUGAAAUGCGUAGAUAUUAGGAAGAACACCAGUGGCGAAGGCGACUUUCUGGACGAAAACUGACGCUGAGGCGCGAAAGCCAGGGGAGCGAACGGGAUUAGAAACCCUGGUAGUCC
rnacentral:rRNA from 1 species